rnacentral:misc_RNA from 1 species
CACGUGUCAUCCUGCCUGCCGGGCGGCGGCACCGUUUGUCGCCCGGCCAAAGUCCUCGAAAACCUCCUCUCUUCGGAGCGGCGGCUCGGGGUAAAAGAACCCACGGCGCCGAAGGCGUCAAGGAACACUGUGCCUAACCCGGGGACGCGGCUGGCUUGCUGGCCGCACCUUGGUUUGCAAUGCUAUAUAAUCCACACGACUCUCGGCAACGGAUAUCUCGGCUCUCGCAUCGAUGAAGAACGUAGCGAAAUGCGAUACCUGGUGUGAAUUGCAGAAUCCCGCGAACCAUCGAGUCUUUGAACGCAAGUUGCGCCCGAGGCCUUCUGGCCGAGGGCACGCCUGCCUGGGCGUCACGCCAAACACGCUCCCACCCCACUAAACCUGGGGUGGGAUGCGGCAUGUGGCUCCCCGUCUCGCAAGGGGCGGUGGGCCGAAGAUCCGGCUGCCGGUGUAUCGUGCCGGACACAGCGCGUGGUAGGCGAUCUCGCUAUACUAAACGCAGUGCAUYCGGCGCGUAGCCGGCGUAAUGCCCUCAA